UAUAACAAUUAACAAAUAUAUAAAUCUUUUAACGAUAUAUUAAUAAACAUAAAAUAAAUUCACGUCUCAUAAUAUAAGAUAUUUAUAUAACAUACAUAGUGUCAUUACUAAGUGCAUAAUAAGCUUAGAUAUUAAAAAGUUAGGAAAAAUAUAAAAUAUCUUAUAUAGUUAUUCAGACAUAUUAACAAUAAAUAGCUAGAAGUAAUAGUACUUAUUGGGUGUAGUAAAUUUUAUUUAUUACUUUAGUGAUCAAAGUUUCAAAAUGAAUAAUUUUAGCAUGCGAGUAUAUAAAAAGAUGAAUGAUUAAGAGGAAAUUUUUUUGAUAAGGGCAUUUUA
rnacentral:misc_RNA from 1 species